rnacentral:lncRNA from 1 species
CAACUAGAAUCUCUUUGUGAUCCCUGCCGGGCAUUAAUUUGGCCAUUUCCUCGCGUAUAGCCCCUUGAUAUUCUACGACCCUUUCAUCGGUCGGGUUUGGGGAUGGCCGAUUUACGGACGAAGAGGAAGAGGGAGUACCACUGUCCGUUAAGAAUACUCCUUUCACGGAAGAAGGGGAUGGCUGGUUCACAGAAAAGGAUGCUAAUGGCGAGGGUUGAUUGACAGAGGAAGAGGAUGCUAAUGGCGAUGGUUGAUUGACAGAGGAAGAGGACGAGGGAGUCCCAAAAGAAAUGAAUCCUUCUGAAGAAGAAGGACUAUGAGAGUGUAGACUAGAAUUGCAAGACAAAAAAGACGAUGAACUGGUGCUACUGGCACUCCCUCCCGAAAGAUCACCCAUUUUAUUUCUGAUAUCCAACAUGAGAAGAUCUUCUGUCUAGAAUUAGUCGUUUUUUGCAUUUCUUUAUUUGGUUGGGAAAGGAAAGAAGAGAUCGCGAACCGCGCCCACACAAUCUCUUACACAGCAACACUGCUUGUCAAGUUAAGUAGCGACCUGCAUACAGGACCCCCUCGUGCCCCACCCCAAGGGCUGACUCUUCUUUCAUUACAUACGAUUUGUUUACUGAUCAAAUUUGAUUAAUGGAUGUCUCAGAAGACAGGCUUUCUCCGACAAGAAAGAUGAGAGGAACCGUGGAGUUGGACCAAUACGUUGGAAUAGAUAGCUCUGUUGCUUACUUUCAAGCUUUAGAUAGCUCUGUUUGUUACAAGCAAAGAAGAAAAAUAUAGCUUUAGUUUUACACCAGCUACGCCCUUCCCCAUUGCAACGUUGUUGGUUUUCGUUUUAUUUUUGGAUCCAUGCAAGCCAUUUCCUGUUGAUAGGAAGGCAGAGUAACAAGUUGAUUUCGAGUACCAUACCUCCUUUCGCGUUCACAGACAGAUCGGGGUCACACCUUACACUUGCGUCACCUGCCUGCCCUUCUCGGUUUAAUUGAAUAAGACCUAGGACCAAGGAUGCAUUUUUUGAAUGGAGUCUUCUCUCUAAAUAUUUCCGGGAAAUAUACCGGGUCAAACCUUCCGAGCUAACUGGACCCUACCCCUUUCAGAGAAUCAUUCCUCCCCCACUCUCUGCCCUUCUAAAAAGAAAAUGCAUUCCUUCGCACUGUGCUUGACUUUCGCUCUUAUAGCACUCUUUUCCUUAAUGCCUGUUGGCUCUAGCACUGUGCUCUUUGCUUCUAGUCUCGCUAGCUAUGAAACUUCCACUGAAAAAGAAGAAUUUCCACGCCCACCAACUGCAGAAGCUCAAUCAAUGGCCACUACCGACAAGGGGACAAUAGAGCUGCAUUGAACACGCAUCCAGCACCUCGAGUCACUACCAACCAGAAAACGAGCGAUAUAGGAGGUAGACUGCCCGCUCCACAACGAGUGAAGAGUGCCGUAGAGCUGAGACAUAUCCUUCCUGAAAGCCAAUCGAUCUGAUCUGUUGGAUAGUGCCUGAAAAGCUAUUCCUCGCUAGCGCUGUCUUGUCUGUUCCUGUUCUGGAUUGGGGCACGGGCUUUCUGUAGAUUGGGAAUUGCUGCUUCAACAAUAGGAGCACAGGGCUAACGCCUCUUUGUUUAGGUUUUAGAAAAGUAGAAAGGAGAAAAUUGGACUUUCAGAACUAAUAACUAUAUUCUUUGUCUGAUUUCUUUAAUUGUCCGAGUUCUCUCAUUAAUGAGUUGGCUCGGCCAUCAUCAAGUAGUGAAUCCCCUCUCGGGGAAGUCCCAUUUCUUUCUGAACGGGAGUCGGAGUUUCUACAAAUUGUAUUGGAAGUGGUAUUUGUAGAUUGUGUCAGUGUUUAGCCAAGAUGUCUCCCUUUGCGAAACGAAUCCAAGGGCGGAGUGUUAUCGCUUGCGUCGGUCCCACCCACCCUUGGGAGGGCCCGCCGGCCUUAUCCUUAUCCUUAUAGUGAUCUCGCUUUGAAAAGAGGACUUUCAUAACAAGUGGAGUCGUCUUGUGGGUAUCAACAAGAAAAACCCUUCUCACAUAAGAGCUCAAGAAUAGAUGCCUUGCCCGAGAACAGGGAUUUGAACCAUUGGACUUUUCUAGCUGUCCUGCCACUGGGUUCCAAGUUCGUACGUAGCUAGUCCAUUUCUAGCAGGAAUUGCAUUUUAUGACAUUGGCCCGUUCCUCAAUACAAUAGUUCCGUAGUGCCAGGUGGGAAGCAUCCUUCUUUGAAUAUGAUGAUGGGCUCCCCGGUUUCAAAGAUAAUAAACCUAUAGUUAUAUUACUUGCGUGUUGGUAAGGCGGCUAAGGUUCUUACGUAUCAUAGUUUAGUUCCUUGUUUGUCUAAGAGGAGUUCAUAUAGCCAGUCCAGUAUGGAACCAGAUCCGGAUAUCCGUACUUUUGGUGGUGCGGUUCAGAGCAGAGGAGAUCGGUGUAGGUUGACAAGAAAGUGCGCCGCUAGCUUUUGUGUGUUCACACAAGGUCAGAAGGAACCUCCGAGUGGAUCCAACAAAGAAUCGAUUCUAUGCCUUCUCUUUCAAAAUGGGAAGUAUUAUGAAGUUUAAGUCAUGUGCUGUAGUUAAUUCCCUUUGUCUUAAGUGAUCUAUUAGAGAGCUUCCCUGUGACCGCCCGAAGGGUAAGAAAGAGAUGCUCUGUGUAGCUAACCCCAAGUCUGGUAACCUUUGAAAAUAGGUUUCUGACGUCACUGCCUUUCAUGCCAAGCUUGACGCUCUUGCUCUUGCACAGGCGGCGGGUGGAUCAAUUUGUGUAAACGAUCGCUUUCUUUCUAUGUCUCCCAAUCGAUGCGGUACUGCCAAUCGUAGACUGGUGACCGGGGAAUGAGAGCUCCAUACACCAUGAUUCAUGGAGUCUUCCUCUCGUUUUUAGGUUGUUUGUGUAUAUACCCAACUGUAGGUCACCUAUGUGACCAAUCCUCACCAUUGGUUUCACAGCACUUAGUAAGCAUACGUUUGAAGACCGAGUUGGUUGAUUUGGUCUGUCCAUUCGCUCUAGGAGGGGCUCGACUUCCUUUGAGCUAUGAGAAAUGGGAGCGCCUUCUUCUUUUUUUUCAGGGAUCUCCUUGGCUACAAAGAGAGCUAUGGAGCCUAGAUGAAAGCUUGACAAGGCCUAUUUAGUGUAUUCGGCCACCCAACCACUCGCAGAAAGAAAGGGGCAUUCAAAACUUGACAGGGAUUCCUUCUCCUAGGGUUGCUCUGAGGUAACCGCUCGUCUUGAUGCUGGCAGUCAAGAAGGCAAAGAGUUGACUUCUACUUUUGAAGUGUAAGGAGUUGACCUUCCUUCACCUAUCUCGGAUUCUGCUACAGAUUGGAACAAUAGUUCACAUUCGCUUGGGAAUACCAAAUAGAAUGCAGUCGAGACAACCACAAGUAGAGGAACGACCGACACAGCUGGCAUGCCCCCGCAACCUUCGAUCCAUCUAUCUAAACAUCGUUCUACUACAGAACUGAGUUCAUCAUAGCAGCCAGCCUCGGUAAGGUUAACUAGCAACUUGACUCACUGCACUCGAAAAAGAUAGCAAAGCGACAAUCGGUCGGUAUGGGUGGAACCUAGUAUAGCUGCGCUUUCUUUUCUUCUUCUUGGUCUAGUCUAUCUACCCGUCUCUAAGUAAGCCCCUCACCUUCCCUUUUUGGAGUAGAGGUCAGAGGCUAGUGCGGGUAGCCCUGUCGGAAACUAGAAAGAAGAGGUUGAUGCACCUGCCCGGCGGUGGGUGGGUUCAGCUCGAUCAACUGGGAUAGGAGUUUUUUCUCUAUCUUGCUCCAUGGUGUUCAAGCAGUGCGUCCAGAAAGCUGUGAUUCAUGGGAGGGAGCAGCUUCAAUAGCUUUGGCUGUAAAAACUCUUGGUCUUGGAGCAUCAGUGUCAUCAGUUCACCCAAGAUCAGCACAGGACAAAUAACUACUAGGUUUGUGCCAGAAAAGCGUCUUGCGUGACGGGGAAAGAGUGGAAAAAGAAAGAGAUUCAUCAGCUAUGGAAUCUGACAGGUAUCGGUAUUGAACAGAGGGGGCUGUUCACAAAGCAUCCCAUGGUGCGCUCCGAGGAGGGGAAAAAAGAUACCACACACAAUUCUAAAACUCGAAAUUCGUUCCUAGAAAUCCGUGAAAUCAUUGUUCUGGGUCACCUUGGCUUUUGUGUUCCGUAGUGACUAGGGGAAGUUGCCCGGCUUGGUAUCUCUCCUACUUCUUGACCUUGCUUCUCACCAUUAGGGGAUAGAGUCUAGUAGUUCCUUCCAUGCCAAGGAAACUUCUAUCGAUUGGCGCCGUUGGUUGGAAAUUUGCAUAGCAUUCCCACGCCUCGUUCUUCAUCAGCUUGGUGCCGCUUCAAUUACGAGGUCUGUCAGCUUCCAUCUCCCGAUGUUGCUACUCGUAUCCAUUCCUCCCUGGAACCUGUUGCGAAGAGCUUGCAAAGGUGCCAAGGUUGCCUGAAUCGAAUCAAAUAAGAUCUCUGCCUUCUUGACUAGCUAUUCGUGCUGCUCCGCUAGCUGGUGACUUGUCUGUCCCCUCAUACAUACUUACUUAGGUCUAGACCCCUAUUCGCUGACCACCGGGCUCCAUCUUUCUAGUAGCAAGAAAAAGCCUAUACUACUUCUGAUUCCAUACGACGCAUACCUCUAGAGUGUAGCAGUGACUUCUUUCUCUCUCUAGUUUAGCAGUGACUUCUUUCUCUCUCGGUGAUCCCUUGGUUGGAUACUAUUUGCAUGUUGACUAGUGGGAAUUCCAGCUAUCCCUUUCCAACAACUAGACAAGUUCGGUGCAUCUAGACUUUCUUUUUUACCGAUAUACUGAACCUAUUCCUCUCAAGCCAACCGAUUCAAACUCGUAGAAUGACUUGACUUUCGAACAAGACUACGGCACUCCUUCCUCGAGAACUGCUUUCGCUUCCAGCUAUUUAAGGCAAGACAAGAGUGGAUCGGCUUUUCCUUGCUAUAGAGGAUUGAAGCUCUUUCCACACUGAAGAUCGGAUCCAUUCCAGCUUCACUUCAACCUUGCCAGCUCUAUUGCUGGGAUUCCAGAAGUUAUAUUAAUGGAUUUGCCACCUGGCUCGCUUCAAUGGAUGAGUCGGGCUAGGGUGAUGACUCGGGCUCGGGAGUUUCCAGUGAAGGAAAAGUCUCGUAUUUCUUGAUCUAGUUCCUACCAUUUCUGAUCCGGAUCUAGCUAGAUGAGUAGUUAGUUUGGGAAACAAGGGUGCCGAGCUGAUGUGUUAUCAUAUCAUAUUUGAAAGGAAGUCAGCUAUUGAAUCAGCAACUAGUCUGGUGUUGAUACGCCGCGAUGCCUUUGCUUCACAAAAGACACAGUGAAAGAAGCCCACAUGCCCACUCUUCUUUCCCCCCUCACCUCAACCGUAUAGUAGAUGGGUUUGGGGGGCCUCGGUUUCCUAUGCCUACACCAGUGAAUUUCUUUUUCGUAGGUGAUCCCGCUCCCAAUCGCAGAUUUGAAUAAUCAAGUCGGUAUGGGGCUGCUGCCUUUUGUUACUCCGGAAAUAUUGGCUUCGCCUGUACAGAUUUUCUAGGGCCUGGGCGAUUUUUACCCGCUUCUCGGCGCUCGCCGUUUCAAGGUGAAGAUCCUCGUAAGUAGAGCGUAAUGUGCUCUCCCUAGGGUUCCUAUCUCGACAGGACCUUAGAACUGUUUUAAUUCUUUUCUUUAAGAACGAAAUGGAUGGUACUUCAGGUUGCGCCCCAUUUAUGGGCGGCUCUGACUCUUUGCCAUUGGCGUCUUGGCGGGACACUUUUUUCCGCUUAUCGUCAUCCUCAGAAUUAGGCAUAGCGGAAGCACUCGACGAGGCCUCUACGACAGCAUGGGCUCUUCCCCGUUUCUGGCCGGACAAUUCCAUAAAUACUAAAGUCAGAAGUAAGACCAAACCGAGAGUGAGUAGCAUAGACAAGGAUAGAUUUGUGAAUGAGACAUAGUACUCACCAAUAUUAAUAUUCAGAUCCAGAAUUGGGUGAAUUCCAAAUUGAUCCAGGGGGCUCUCUGCUGCAAAACCUGCAGCAUCAUCCACAUUCAUCAGGUCAACUCCUGCGGAACUCCCCGCCUCAUUUCCAUUCGCUAGGUCAACUCCUCCUGAGCUUCCCGCUGGGUUUCCUCCUCCAGGAAGAUCCGCGUCAUUCGACACUCCGUACUUGAAAGCUUCACUUUCUCUUCCAUGCGCCCUUAAAUCCUCGAGCUGCCCUUGCAAAAAUGCGAUAUUAUCGCUUUCUCCAUGCACACGUUCGGCGGCAGCCACAACUUCGGGGUGCUCCCCGUCCAUCCUCAUUAAUUCACUCAUUUGCUCCCUUAUACCGGCUUGAUAUUCCACCACCAUUUCAUCGGUCGGGUUCAGACCUGGGUGGUCCUCAUAAAUCCCAGUUGAACCCCCCGCCCCCGGAAUCGGAACACCAUUAGCAUUACUUGUAUUAGAUCCAUCAGUCAUCGUUCUAAUACUGACAGAACUUGCGAUUGUAUUAACAGAAGUCUCGGUUGAAUUGAGAGACGCCUCAUCAAAUCUAAAGAUAAGGCGCUCCCUUUCAUAAGAUUCGAAUGAGAACUGAUCGAAAUCUCGUACAUCGCGUGUCGGCAUAGGAAUUAUUUAUCUUUUUCAGCGCCUAUCUGCUCCCAAAAGAGAAAGGGAGACUUUGAGAUAGGAUAGGGGUUGGUUUUUCCAACGAAACGAAAAAAAGAACAUUCGAACAAAUAGACUUGAUUUCAUGACAAAACAAAAUGCUAGUUCUAACGAACAGCGUUUGUCCCAUCGACUUUACUUUGGCCAAUGAUACUACUACUACUAUAUACUAUAUACUAUAUACUAUAUACUAUAUACUAUACGCGUUUUCUGAGGAGCAACAUGAGACUUGAUUUUCCUAUAGUCUGGCUACUAUACUAUACUAUAAAACCCUGGGCCAUGUUUCCCGAGAGAGACUGCCUUCUCUCAGGCCAGCAGUCUUAUACUUAUAGUCGACUGCUCUAUGACGAUCUGACCUCUUUCCUGGGCUCUGCUCGCUCGUCUACGCUCCGACCAAUUCAGUCAAAAUCGAAAAAACGAUGUUUCGUCUAAGAAUAAGAAAUAGUAGUAGUAGUCAAAAAGUGCACUUUUUCCAUAUAUUUCGAGGGAUCCCUAUCUUUAUCUCUAUCCACAGAGAUACCUAUCUAUUCUAUUCUAUAUAUAGAGAGAUUUUUCUAAAAAUUGAUCUAGACUAUCCUCUCCUCUAUCUGGAUAGAUAUGUCCCUAUGAGCGACUAGGCCGAUCUUUUUUAUAUGUUUUGGCCACGUCCGUUUCCGCUCCGAAGAGGAAGGUUUGGAUCUUUCAAUCUUAUGUCGUGAGGGAUGUGACCUAUGUUAGGUCCAUAAGAUACCACAGCUUUUAGUGUUCUAUGAUUCACCUCCGAAUAAUGAGUAGGUAGUUCGAUCCUUUUGAUUCUUAUCUUCCUAGUAAUAGUAAACGGGGAUCCGGAGCAAUAGGUCGAAUUUCUAUAUAAUUUGUUUGUGUAAACAAAAGGGCUUAUUGCUCUUUUUCGGUUUUCGUUUUCCUCGAUAACUUUGAGGAUCUCCUCUACCCCUUCCUCUUCCUCCUUCCUUCUUUUCCAUAAGAAGAAGUAUUUGAAAUGAAACAAAUUCCUCUUCAUUCUGUUGUGCUCAGCGAAGGAACUGCCUAAGCAUACUUUUGCGGAUCCAAACUUCUUUGUUCUUUCUAAGUCUUCUUCUUGCAUAUAAGAACGCAACUCUUGCAAAAACCCGGAUUUUAGUAGUAAGCGGCAUCCCCUCUGAGUUGUGAGUAAGCGGAACCAUUCUGUUUUUGUUCUUCUCCAGAUUCUGACCGGUAGGAAUUUGCCUAUGAUUUUUCCAACUGAUAUGUCGAUAUAGAAAGAUCUCCUUAUUUCUUCACCGCGGGUUCUCGCGUCAUUUUCUUUAAAGAUAUUAGAUCACCAUGGGAAACUUUAAAAUGAGUAAUGGUUACCAGUCCAUUAUUCAAACAAACCCUUCGAUGACUUAUCGGCUGCCUUGCUUGAGGAAGAGUGUCACUAAAACGGAGACGAACCGGAAUCACGUCUGAUCUUGUUUCUUGAUUGAGUAAAAAAGGGAUAUAUGAAGUUCGUUCUCUUCCUCUGUGCAUCUCCCUUAUGGGUAAAUACCCAUAAUAAAGGGACAACUUUCGUGUAGUUUGUGAUUUGAUGUUACUGUUUAGAUUUUCUCUCUGAGAAAGAUUUCUUUUAAUGGAUCUCCUCUUGUUCCUCAAUCUUCGGAGAAUGCGGCGUUGGAUUAGAGAAAGUUCUCUGUUCCGAACAUUUCCUGGAAGUAGACGGCACGUUUUAAAUCUUAAUGCAGGCAUAUUUCGUUGAAUCAGUCUUUUACGCCACAUCGCGUAUAAAGGGAAUCGAACCCAACUCUUCCACGAACCCCCCACGAAUGGUCCUCCCUUAACUCAAUGAACUUUGAGAAUUCCUUUGCCUAGUUUUUUUCUUUUCAGUUCUCAUAAGUCCUUGAUAUACUAGCCUCAAUACUUGACCGACUGCGUCACAGUGCUCAGGUAAAGUGGCAGUGGUUGAAAGCGAGCAGAAACGUCAGUGUUUUCUGUGCGUUACGAUAGUAGUGGUGAAAGAAAAUCCAAUUCAAAUAUCUCAACGUAAAAGGAAAAUCGUUUCACUUUGAUUUGAAAAGAAAGACUCCAGCUAGCUAUAUGAGAUCGAACUUCUUCCAUCACUCUAUCUACGAUAUUCAUUGCACCAUGAUUGAAGGCCUACGCAUCUUCUUUCGGGUAUUUCUUAUUGGUUGACAUAAAUUAUAGACACCGUGGGGACGUCAUCUAGACAAAAAGGGAAACGAUUUAUGAUAGAUUACCAUCAAUCCCAUCUUAUGGUGUUACACCCAUGGACUAAAGAUACUAGUCUUCCUACAUUGCAUCUAUUGGGUUGAGAGAGGAUCUCCUUUCUCCUAAAAAUCCUCCUUGUCCAUGAUACUUACUUGCAAUCAAUUCAUAGUCUUCCCAAGUAGCUUCUAGGUUGGACCAAUGAAUGAGCACUUGUGGUACCGCUGCAUUUCUGGAAUGGCUACUGCCUACAUAACUUGUCUUCCUCUUUUCAAGGAAGUCAGUAUCAGACCAUAUGUAGUUCUCGUCUCGAGGGUCUUACUUCCUUUUUCCUGGACCCUGAUGAAAGAAAAGAGAUAAUUUAUUAGCCUUCUCACAUGGACAUAAAGACACGAGUUAAUCAUUCGCAUGCAGCGUCACAUAAACAACAAAUAACAAGCGCAUGCAGCCUCACAUAAACAACAAAUAACAACGCGCACAAGCUUAACACUCAUAUAUUUUUUUAGAUAAUAUGGACAUAAGAUUCCCCUCUUACCCCUAACUAACGAUUAUGCUGCUCUCGUCCUGUUUUUCCAUACUUCCCACAGCGCAAGAAAAAUAAAAACUAGAAAUAGGAACAAACCGAGACCGAGAGCGAGAGCGAGAGGGUGAAUGCCAAAUUGAUCCAAAGGACUCUCCGCUAAAUGCAUCGCAGCGAAAUUUGCCGCUAAAUUCUCAUUCGCUAGCUCAGCUAUUCCGUACUUGAAGGCUUCACUUUUAGUGCCAUUUGCUACUAAAUCCCGGAGCUGUGAUCGAAGAAAUCCUAUAUUAGCACUCCCCCCAUGUAUUCAUUCGGCUGCAACUAGAAUCUCUUGGUGAUCCCUGCCGGGCAUUAAUUUGGCCAUUUCCUCGCGUAUAGCCCCUUGAUAUUCUACGACCCUUUCAUCGGUCGGGUUUGGGGAUGGCCGAUUUACGGACGAAGAGGAAGAGGGAGUACCACUGUCCGUUAAGAAUACUCCUUUCACGGAAGAAGGGGAUGGCUGGUUCACAGAAAAGGAUGCUAAUGGCGAGGGUUGAUUGACAGAGGAAGAGGAUGCUAAUGGCGAUGGUUGAUUGACAGAGGAAGAGGACGAGGGAGUCCCAAAAGAAAUGAAUCCUUCUGAAGAAGAAGGACUAUGAGAGUGUAGACUAGAAUUGCAAGACAAAAAAUACGAUGAACUGGUGCUACUAGCACUCCCUCCCGAAAGAUCACCCAUUUUAUUUCUGAUAUCCAACAUGAGAAGAUCUUCUGGUCUAGAAUUAGUCGUUUUUUGCAUUUCUUUAUUUGGUUGGGAAAGGAAAGAAGAGAUCGCGAACCGCGCCCACACAAUCUCUUACACAGCAACACUGCUUGUCAAGUUAAGUAGCGACCUGCAUACAGGGGACCCCCUCGUGCCCCACCCCAAGGGCUGACUCUUCUUUCAU